GAUGAACGCUGGCGGCGUGCCUAAUACAUGCAAGUCGAGCGAACGGACGAGAAGCUUGCUUCUCUGAUUUUAGCGGCGGACGGGUGAGUAACACGUGGAUAACCUACCUAUAAGACUGGGAUAACUUCGGGAAACCGGAGCUAAUACCGGAUAAUAUUUUGAACCGCAUGGUUCAAAAGUGAAAGACGGUCUUGCUGUCACUUAUAGAUGGAUCCGCGCUGCAUUAGCUAGUUGGUAAGGUAACGGCUUACCAAGGCAACGAUGCAUAGCCGACCUGAGAGGGUGAUCGGCCACACUGGAACUGAGACACGGUACAGACUCCUACGGGAGGCAGCAGUAGGGAAUCUUCCGCAAUGGGCGAAAGCCUGACGGAGCAACGCCGCGUGAGUGAUGAAGGUCUUCGGAUCGUAAAACUCUGUUAUUAGGGAAGAACAUAUGUGUAAGUAACUGUGCACAUCUUGACGGUACCUAAUCAGAAAGCCACGGCUAACUACGUG
rnacentral:rRNA from 1 species